CAGUCGCCACGGGAAAACGGAGGGUGCAAGCGUUAAUCGGAAUUACUGGGCGUAAAGCGUGCGCAGGCGGUUCGGAAAGAAAGAUGUGAAAUCCCAGGGCUCAACCUUGGAACUGCAUUUUUAACUACCGGACUAGAGUAUGUCAGAGGGAGGUGGAAUUCCACGUGUAGCAGUGAAAUGCGUAGAUAUGUGGAGGAACACCGAUGGCGAAGGCAGCCUCCUGGGAUAAUACUGACGCUCAUGCACGAAAGCGUGGGGAGCAAACAGGAUUAGAUACCCCAGUAGUCCCUGUCUCUUAUAC
rnacentral:rRNA from 1 species